UAGUGCAAAUUAAUAAUGUAAAAAAAAAAGGUGGACUCCAUAUUAAAAAAUCAAACAAUAUUCAUUGUUACAUCCCGUACUUUCGCAUAUUCGGAGAUUUUGAAAUAACUGUGACUUGUAGAGACAAGGCAACAUUUUGACUCUAGCCAAUAUGUAUACGUUGCCCCUGAAAAAUUUUGAUGCGGAAAUAUGGAGAAAGGCCAAGGGCAAAAUUGGAACUUUGAAAAUUAGUUUCGGGAGUUUCAAAAAAAUAAACCAAAGGAAAUUGGGCUCAAAAAAAAAUGAAGACAAGGCCCAACAUUUGGAGGGUGGCCGGCCAUAUACUAUGGCCCAAGCCCAUGAAAUAAUUAAAUUUAUGGGUCAAAUAAUAAAAAGGGGCACAAGUCUUCAUUUGGAAGAAACUUCAAGAACAACCAAGAAAAACAAAGAAGAGAGAAAAAGAGAAAGAAGGCCUUCGGCCAUAGAGAGAAAGAAAAAAAAAUUGAGGGCUUCAAAUCUUGAUCCAAAAAUCAUAAUUUUCUAGCAAUAUUACUAACUCAAGGAUGCUCUUCAACAUGGUAUAAAUUUUAAGGCAAGGAAGUGCUUGUGUUGGCAAGUGGAAGUUUGAAGAAAAGGACCAUUUGUAGAUUUUGGGCGAAACAGGAAUUGAAUUUGAGCGAGCGUAAGGCGCAACUAAGGUACAGACUCACGUUUUGGUGACCCACUGGCGUAGGAUUUCCAUUCUGCGGUUCGGAGUGCUCCCUUUGUUCCAGAGCCGACAUUUUGGGUACAUACUCUUCCGAUGUAUAUGUUUAUGUUUAUUCAGGGUACGGCGGGGCCCUGUCCCGCCAUCUGAUUCUGUUGUUCCGUAUUAGAGGUUUGUAGACAUAGAUGUGGGUAAUGUACAGUUUUGUUUGGAUGCGUUGUGUGAAUUGUGUUUGGGCGGCCCAUCCGCCGUGGCAGCCCUAUCGGCCGCGUGUAUGUAUGCUUUGGUACGUUAUGUAUAGUAUGAUAGCCUUGCCGGCUUCUAUGCAGUAUAUAUGGUUGUAGGCACCAGUGUGGAGCCAUGUCUGAUAUUCAUUUAUAUACGAGUCGUCUGUAUGUUGAAUCUGGUAAAUGAGCGCGUAGGGGUGUCCAGUUCGGGCACUAGU